GAUGAACGCUAGCGGCAGGCUUAAUACAUGCAAGUCGUGGGGCAGCAUGAGUGUAGCAAUACAUUUGAUGGCGACCGGCAAACGGGUGCGGAACACGUACACAACCUUCCUAUAAGUGGGGAAUAGCCCAGAGAAAUUUGGAUUAAUACCCCGUAACAUAACGAUGUGGCAUCACAUUGUUAUUAUAGCUUCGGCGCUUAUUGAUGGGUGUGCGGCUGAUUAGAUAGUUGGCGGGGUAACGGCCCACCAAGUCUACGAUCAGUAGCUGAUGUGAGAGCAUGAUCAGCCAAACGGGCACUGAGACACGGGCCCGACUCCUACGGGAGGCAGCAGUAAGGAAUAUUGGUCAAUGGACGCAAGUCUGAACCAGCCAUGCCGCGUGAAGGAUUAAGGUCCUCUGGAUUGUAAACUUCUUUUAUCUGGGACGAAAAAAGGCUUUUCUAAGUCACUUGACGGUACCAGAUGAAUAAGCACCGGCUAACUCCGUGCCAGCAGCCGCGGUAAGAC
rnacentral:rRNA from 1 species